UGCGUUCGGGAGGCGGGGCCGGGACCCGCUGACGGCAGUUUCCCAGCCCUGUUCCCCCUCCCCUGCCCCCUCAGCCUGCGGGCAGCAGAAGGCGGCGGCCAGCCUCCUCCUGCCCCUCGGCCGGACGAACCGCGGCUGCCGCGCCUGUCACCUCUGCACCUGCCCGGCUGAGUAGAAAAAUCUGAAAUUUGAAACAGAAAUGGCCACAUAAGGACAACUCAGAUGAAGUGCAGGCGGGCUGACAUCGCGCACUUGGGUCUUUCCGGGAAAGACAGCCGCGCUCUGGGAGAAGCCUAGUCCUCCGGCUUGUCCCCGGACCCGCCCCAAAGGCCGCUGGGAGCUCGGUGAGGACGUGGCGGUCCCCUUGCUCAUCUGACUCCGGAGGCAGGUUCCGCAGAAAGAGCUCUCAAUCUCGGCCGCUGGGCUCCAAGAUAAUCUCCUGGCGAAAGCUAAGAGGCGGCCAUCCCUUCCCGGGGACUCAGCCCCUAGAUUCAGCUUCUUCCGCCGCAAAAAACUCCCAAGCCCUGCGAACUCGCAACUUGCCUCUCCAGGCUUCCGGCGUGGGCGUCCCAGCUACACUUUCGAGCACUUUGCUUGGCCGGCAUCUACCCGCUCUUCGAUUAAGGAAAGCGCAGUGGGGACAGAGGCAACUCCUGCCUCCUGUACCAGGCCUACGUAGUCGCCCAGGUGGCCGGGUCACAAAUAAACAAUUCCACCAUCAA
rnacentral:lncRNA from 1 species